UACAGAGGGUGCGAGCGUUGUCCGGAAUCACUGGGCGUAAAGGGCGCGUAGGUGGCCUGAUAAGUAGGGGGUGAAAUCUCGUGGCUCAACUGCGAGGCUGCCUCCUAAACUGUCGGGCUUGAGCAGAGUAGAGGCAGGUGGAAUUCCCGGUGUAGCGGUGGAAUGCGUAGAGAUCGGGAAGAACAUCGGUGGCGAAGGCGGCCUGCUGGGCUCUUGCUGACACUGAGGCGCGACAGCGUGGGGAGCAAAC
rnacentral:rRNA from 1 species